rnacentral:rRNA from 1 species
UACAGAGGUCUCAAGCGUUGUUCGGAUUCAUUGGGCGUAAAGGGUGCGUAGGUGGCGCCGUAAGUCAGGUGUGAAAUUUCGGAGCUUAACUCCGAAACUGCAUUUGAUACUGCGGUGCUUGAGGACUGGAGAGGAGACUGGAAUUCACGGUGUAGCAGUGAAAUGCGUAGAUAUCGUGAGGAAGACCAGUGGCGAAGGCGGGUCUCUGGACAGUUCCUGACACUGAGGCACGAAGGCUAGGGGAGGCAAACGGG